AGGAAUGGUUGAGUUGUUUGUAGGAGUUGUGCUUAGCUGAUAUGUAUCACAGUUGAUUUCUUCUCAAGUUUUAACUGAAUUGUUUAUUUAUGUGCUCUGAUUUGCCAAAAUUGAAGGUGUGGGCUAUCACUGAUUCAAAUCGACAAGGAUAUCUUGGUUUUACAGAGUUCAUCAUUGCUAUGCAGCUAAUUUCUUUGGCACAAUCCGUCCAACCAAUAACACAAGAUCUUCUUUCUAGUGGUGGCAUUUUACUUCCAACCAUUUUUCUGGGAAUCUACCUGCUACAUUUGCAAAUCUCACUAAAUUGAAUCACGUUCGACUAGGCAAUAAUCAAUUUUCUAGAACUAUACCAAAUUUUAUUCAGAGCUGGACAACUCUUCAGAGAUUGUGUGAAUCUUUACCUUAUUCCCUGAAAUUUAAACUUUUAGCUGUUUCUUUUUGAAAUACAUUUUAGUUAUAAUUGGCUGACCAAAGAAUUGUUCUUAAUUGUUCCAGGGUGGUGCAAGGGAGUGGUAUGAAUUUUUUUAUUCAAAAAUUAAAGCUACUCAUAAUUAUUGCUUCUUUUUUAUUUGAUAAAGUGCAUGCAUCAACAUGCUUCUCAGUUCAGUCUUUUGAUUAUAAUAUAGGGGUUUAAAAUAUCUUAAGUUGACUUUUUGAAACCAUUUCUUUUCUCUCUUAAAUAAUACUUGCUUUGGACAUAACUUCUUUUUCAGAGACAUCAGUUUUAACAAAUUAAGUGGAAUCAUUCCAAGCUCCUUCAAUCGCCUAUUGAACAUGAACAUACUUUAAGAAAUCUUUUCUAACUUUUUAUUUUUUAGUUACAUGAAAUAAGGAUUGAGGGAAACUAUUUCUUGCCUUCAUUAUUAGAAAAUUGGAAAUUGAAUGCCAUUGACACUGAUAGAGAACCAAUGGCAGGAUUAAAAUGCAGAUAGACUAAGUUUCCUUCUCAAUUAAACAUGCUGUUUAUGAUAAUUUGAGUUGCAUCUUGAAGCUUUGGUAUGUACUUAUUUAUGAUUUCUGUUCUUAUACCUUGUUUUUUUCCUUU